GUCGGCUUCUCGUCCCGGCUGGGACUUGGGUUAAGCGGCUCGGCUGCGGCAUGGGGGUGCGGAGCGGUGGGCUGGAGGGGAGCUUAUUUGUAGGAAAGCGUGAAGGACCCAAGUCAGGCUUCUGGGAACGUCUCACACUCCUGUUAAUUUGUCCCUGCAGCCUGGAAGCUCUGGGGUUUUCUCCGUGAGGGUUUUGAAAAUCCAUUAGAUCUUGCCUCUGCUCUGGUGCUUAUGAGAAUAUCAGCGUUUUGCAGGUGUUACAGCUUACGUUUACACAUCAGUGAUGCUUUCCAAAUGGAUCCUCAACUGGUUUCUGGUCCUGAUGGUGUCUAUAGCACAGUGCAGAGACACUGGCAGACAUGUGCGGGCCUGCACUGCUUCCCAGAGUACUGAUUGGCGAUCUGGUCAAGACAAAGUCUUGAAUAAUGUUCUUGGUCCUCUUAGGAACAGAAUCUUGUCGUGUAGCCAUGCUUUCUGAUACAAAUGCAACAAAAAAGCAUCUGAGUUCACUAAGGUUGCAUAUCUUUAUAAAAUAGACAGUGGCCAGUUGGUUAGAGUAUUGGUAUAAGAGGCAGGCAUUUGUGUUUAAAGUACUUUUGAGUUUGGAAUCCAGAUGGAAACCAAGUUACUUUUGGUUCUGGGAAUGGGCCAUAGUCUAUUAAUAUAGUGAAAACAGCUAUGAUCGAACAUCCAUACAUGUCUAUAUUUUACAUGGUUUCUGAGUCACGUAUUUU